rnacentral:tRNA from 1 species
ACCAAAAUAGCUCAGUUGGGAGAGCGUUAGACGUUAGACUAUAGGUCGAGAAGUCUUUGGUUCGAUCCCGGGUUUCGGCA